UACAGAGGGGGCAAGCGUUGUUCGGAAUUAUUGGGCGUAAAGCGCGUGUAGGCGGCUUUGCAAGUCGGGUGUGAAAGCCCUCAGCUUAACUGAGGAAGUGCGCCCGAAACUGCAGAGCUUGAGUACCGGAGAGGGUGGCGGAAUUCCCCAAGUAGAGGUGAAAUUCGUAGAUAUGGGGAGGAACACCGGUGGCGAAGGCGGCCGCCUGGACGGAUACUGACGCUGAGACGCGAAAGCGUGGGGAGCAAACAGG
rnacentral:rRNA from 1 species